rnacentral:lncRNA from 1 species
AUCAACUCGCCGGGAGACUUGUUCAUCCCUUGCAUGUUGUAGUUCAACACAAAGCCUUUAUAGCUUGGCGGCAGUGAUUGAAGGAUUCUGUCAGUGAUAGCUUCUUGCAGGAGUUCAAUCCCCAGUUCAGCUAGACGGUUUGAGUACCCAGACAUUUUGAGCACAUGUUCACUGACAGACGAGUUUUCCUCCAUCUUGCAAGCAUAGAAUUUAUCGGAGGUCUCAUACCUCUCGAUCCGGGCGUUCUUCUGAAAGAUAAACUUCAACUCCUGGAACAUCUCAAAUGCUCCAUGACGCUCAAAGCGACGUUGAAGUCCCGGUUCUAAGCCAUACAAGACUGCACAUUGAACUAUAGAGUAGUCCUCCUUACGCGCUAACCAAGCGUUCUUAACAUCCUGAUCAGCCGUAGCUGGUGGUUCAUCUCCUAGCGCAGCAUUAAGGACAUAAUCCUUCUUCCCAGCUUGUAAGAUUAGCUUUAGAUUACGAGCCCAGUCUACAAAGUUGCUCCCAUCAUC